rnacentral:rRNA from 1 species
CACGCAGGCGGCCUGGUAAGUUGGAUGUGAAAUCCCCUGGCUCACCCAGGGAACUGCAUUCAAUACUGCCGGGCUUGAGCUCGGGAGGGGAGAGUGGAACUCCUAGUGUAGCGGUGAAAUGCGUAGAUAUUAGGAGGAACGCCGGUGGCGAAAGCGACUCUCUGGCCCGAUGCUGACGCUCAGGUGCGAAAGCCAGGGGAGCGAACG